GGGUUGUGAGGUUAAGCGACUAAGCGUACACGGUGGAUGCCCUGGCAGUCAGAGGCGAUGAAGGGCGUGCUAAUCUGCGAUAAGCGCCGGUAAGGUGAUAUGAACCGUUAUAACCGGCGAUACCCGAAUGGGGAAACCCAGUGUGAUUCGUCACACUAUCAUUAACUGAAUCCAUAGGUUAAUGAGGCGAACCGGGGGAACUGAAACAUCUAAGUACCCCGAGGAAAAGAAAUCAACCGAGAUUCCCCCAGUAGCGGCGAGCGAACGGGGAGGAGCCCAGAGCCUGAAUCAGCAUGUGUGUUAGUGGAAGCGUCUGGAAAGGCGCGCGAUACAGGGUGACAGCCCCGUACACAAAAGCGCAUGUGCUGUGAGCUCGAUGAGUAGGGCGGGACACGUGGUAUCCUGUCUGAAUAUGGGGGGACCAUCCUCCAAGGCUAAAUACUCCUGACUGACCGAUAGUGAACCAGUACCGUGAGGGAAAGGCGAAAAGAACCCCGGCGAGGGGAGUGAAAAAGAACCUGAAACCGUGUACGUACAAGCAGUGGGAGCACCCUUUGGGUGUGACUGCGUACCUUUUGUAUAAUGGGUCAGCGACUUAUAUUCUGUAGCAAGGUUAACCGAAUAGGGGAGCCGGAGGGAAACCGAGUCUUAACCGGGCGUUAAGUUGCAGGGUAUAGACCCGAAACCCGGUGAUCUAGCCAUGGGCAGGUUGAAGGUUGGGUAACACUAACUGGAGGACCGAACCGACUAAUGUUGAAAAAUUAGCGGAUGACCUGUGGCUGGGGGUGAAAGGCCAAUCAAACCGGGAGAUAGCUGGUUCUCCCCGAAAGCUAUUUAGGUAGCGCCUCGUGAAUUCAUCUCCGGGGGUAGAGCACUGUUUCGGCUAGGGGGCCAUCCCGGCUUACCAACCCGAUGCAAACUGCGAAUACCGGAGAAUGUUAUCACGGGAGACACACGGCGGGUGCUAACGUCCGUCGUGAAGAGGGAAACAACCCAGACCGCCAGCUAAGGUCCCAAAGUCAUGGUUAAGUGGGAAACGAUGUGGGAAGGCCCAGACAGCCAGGAUGUUGGCUUAGAAGCAGCCAUCAUUUAAAGAAAGCGUAAUAGCUCACUGGUCGAGUCGGCCUGCGCGGAAGAUGUAACGGGGCUAAACCAUGCACCGAAGCUGCGGCAGCGACACUGUGUGUUGUUGGGUAGGGGAGCGUUCUGUAAG
rnacentral:rRNA from 1 species